GCUGGCUCAGUAGUAGAGUGCUUGCCUUGUAUGUAUGAGGCCCUGGGUUCGAGUCCUCAGCAGCA
rnacentral:tRNA from 1 species